AACCCUCAAGCUCAGCUUGGUGUUGGGGAUCGGCAAGGCGUCCUCCGGGUCGCGCCGUCCCCCAAAUUUAGUGGCGGUCUCGCUGUAGCUUCCUCUGCGUAGUAAUACACCUCGCUCUGGAGUCUCGGUGCGGCCACGCCGUAAAACCCCCAACUUUUUCUGG
rnacentral:misc_RNA from 2 species